rnacentral:rRNA from 1 species
AGAGUUUGAUCAUGGCUCAGAACGAACGCUGGCGGCAUGCCUAACACAUGCAAGUCGAACGCUUUUGGGGCUUUGGCCUCAAGGGAGUGGCGCACGGGUGAGUAGCGCGUGGGAACCUGCCCUGUUGUGGGGGAUAACCGAGGGAAACUUCGGCUAAUACCGCAUGCGCCCCCGGAGUGAUCCGGGGGGAAAGAUUUAUCGCAGCAGGAGGGGCCCGCGUCGGAUUAGCUUGUUGGUGGGGUAACGGCCUACCAAGGCUCCGAUCCGUAGCUGGUCUGAGAGGAUGAUCAGCCACACUGGGACUGAGACACGGCCCAGACUCCUACGGGAGGCAGCAGUGGGGAAUAUUGGACAAUGGGCGCAAGCCUGAUCCAGCAAUGCCGCGUGAGUGAUGAAGGCCUUAGGGUUGUAAAGCUCUUUCGCCCGCGACGAUGAUGACGGUAGCGGGAGAAGAAGCCCCGGCUAACUUCCUGCCAGCAGCCGCGGUA